rnacentral:misc_RNA from 1 species
UCAACCAUCAAGCCUGGCUUGUCAUUGGAUCCUUUUUGCAGCUGAAAUAUGCGGCAGGUCCGAAAGAUAAUGACGGCGUCGUGUUUGACCCUAGAUGCAACGAGCUUUUUUAUAGCACGCAUUGAAGUGGUCGGCCGACCCGGUCUUUAACCAUCAUUUUCUAA